rnacentral:rRNA from 1 species
GACGAACGCUGGCGGCGUGCUUAACACAUGCCAGUCGAACGGAAAGGCCCUGCUUGCCGGGUACUCGAGUGGCGAACGGGUGAGUAACACGUGGGUGAUCUGCCCUGCACUUCGGGAUAAGCCUGGGAAACUGGGUCUAAUACCGGAUAGGAGCCAUUUUUAGUGUGAUGGUUGGAAAGUUUUUUCGGUGUAGGAUGAGCUCGCGGCCUAUCAGCUUGUUGGUGGGGUAAUGGCCUACCAAGGCGGCGACGGGUAGCCGGCCUGAGAGGGUGGACGGCCACAUUGAGACUGAGAUACGGCCCAGACUCCUACGGGAGGCAGCAGUGGGGAAUAUUGCACAAUGGGCGCAAGCCUGAUGCAGCGACGCCGCGUGGGGGAUGACGGCCUUCGGGUUGUAAACUCCUUUCGCUAGGGACGAAGCUUUUUGUGACGGUACCUAGAUAAGAAGCACCGGCUAACUACGUG